rnacentral:rRNA from 1 species
GACGAACGCUGGCGGCGUGCCUAAUACAUGCAAGUAGAACGCUGAAGAGAGGAGCUUGCUCUUCUUGGAUGAGUUGCGAACGGGUGAGUAACGCGUAGGUAACCUGCCUUGUAGCGGGGGAUAACUAUUGGAAACGAUAGCUAAUACCGCAUAACAAUGGAUGACACAUGUCAUUUAUUUGAAAGGGGCAAUUGCUCCACUACAAGAUGGACCUGCGUUGUAUUAGCUAGUAGGUGAGGUAAUGGCUCACCUAGGCGACGAUACAUAGCCGACCUGAGAGGGUGAUCGGCCACACUGGGACUGAGACACGGCCCAGACUCCUACGGGAGGCAGCAGUAGGGAAUCUUCGGCAAUGGGGGCAACCCUGACCGAGCAACGCCGCGUGAGUGAAGAAGGUUUUCGGAUCGUAAAGCUCUGUUGUAAGUCAAGAACGGGUGUGAGAGUGGAAAGUUCACACUGUGACGGUAGCUUACCAGAAAGGGACGGCUAACUACGUGCCAGCAGCCGCGGUAAUACGUAGGUCCCGAGCGUUGUCCGGAUUUAUUGGGCGUAAAGCGAGCGCAGGCGGUUUGAUAAGUCUGAAGUUAAAGGCUGUGGCUCAACCAUAGUUCGCUUUGGAAACUGUCAAACUUGAGUGCAGAAGGGGAGAGUGGAAUUCCAUGUGUAGCGGUGAAAUGCGUAGAUAUAUGGAGGAACACCGGUGGCGAAAGCGGCUCUCUGGUCUGUAACUGACGCUGAGGCUCGAAAGCGUGGGGAGCGAACAGGAUUAGAUACUCUGGUAGUCCACGCCGUAAACGAUGAGUGCUAGGUGUUGGAUCCUUUCCGGGACUCAGUGCCGCAGCUAACGCAUUAAGCACUCCGCCUGGGGAGUACGACCGCAAGGUUGAAACUCAAAGGAAUUGACGGGGGCCCGCACAAGCGGUGGAGCAUGUGGUUUAAUUCGAAGCAACGCGAAGAACCUUACCAGGUCUUGACAUCCCGAUGCUAUUUCUAGAGAUAGAAAGUUACUUCGGUACAUCGGUGACAGGUGGUGCAUGGUUGUCGUCAGCUCGUGUCGUGAGAUGUUGGGUUAAGUCCCGCAACGAGCGCAACCCCUAUUGUUAGUUGCCAUCAUUCAGUUGGGCACUCUAGCGAGACUGCCGGUAAUAAACCGGAGGAAGGUGGGGAUGACGUCAAAUCAUCAUGCCCCUUAUGACCUGGGCUACACACGUGCUACAAUGGUUGGUACAACGAGUUGCGAGUCGGUGACGGCGAGCUAAUCUCUUAAAGCCAAUCUCAGUUCGGAUUGUAGGCCGCAACUCGCCUACAUGAAGUCGGAAUCGCUAGUAAUCGCGGAUCAGCACGCCGCGGUGAAUACGUUCCCGGGCCU